rfam:Neocallimastix californiae strain G1 LY90scaffold_152, whole genome shotgun sequence.
AGCAGCGUAGCGUAGUGGAAGCGUGGUGGGCUCAUAACCCACAGGUCGUAUGAUCGAAACAUACCGCUGCUA